AAUCGAAAUUGAUGAUGUCGCUUCGCCUUUGGAUGACUCUAAAAAUUCUGAAUGUUUAGCUGUGACUAAUGAAAUAAAAUCAGAAGAUUUUAUAAAAACAGAACCCGAAGAUGUCGCUCCGAUUAUGAAGACAGACGUGCACGACGACUUUAAAAGUAGCGAAAAUGAAUCUGCC